CCCAGACUCCUACGGGAGGCAGCAGUGAGGAAUAUUGGUCAAUGGUCGGGAGACUGAACCAGCCAAGCCGCGUGAGGGAUGAAGGUACAGAGUAUCGUAAACCUCUUUUGUCAGGGAGCAAGGGCGGGGACGUGUCCCCGGAUGAGUGUACCUGAAGAAAAAGCAUCGGCUAACUCCGUGCCAGCAGCCGCGGUAAUACGGAGGAUGCGAGCGUUAUCCGGAUUUAUUGGGUUUAAAGGGUGCGCAGGCGGUCUGUUAAGUCAGCGGUCAAAGCCCGGGGCUCAACCCCGGUCCGCCGUUGAAACUGGCGUUCUUGAGUGAGCGAGAAGUAUGCGGAAUGCGUGGUGUAGCGGUGAAAUGCAUAGAUAUCACGCAGAACUCCGAUUGCGAAGGCAGCAUACCGGCGCUCAACUGACGCUCAUGCACGAAAGCGUGGGUAUCGAACAGGAUUAGAUACCCCCGUA
rnacentral:rRNA from 1 species